UACAGAGGCCCCAAGCGUUACUGAGAAUCACUGGGUUUAAAGGGUGCGUAGGUGGCGCGUUUAAGUCCGUUGUGAAAUCCCUGGGCUCAACCCCAGGAAUUGCUUCGGAUACUGGCGUGCUUGAGGCUAGUAGAGGUCACUGGAACUGACGGUGGAGCGGUGAAAUGCGUAGAUAUCGUCAGGAACGCCGAUGGUGAAGACAGGUGACUGGGCUAGUUCUGACACUGAGGCACGAAAGCGUGGGUAGCAAACAGG
rnacentral:rRNA from 1 species